GGGGGCGGGGACAAGAGAACAUCCUGCCUUUCCUGCUCGAGCGCCAUUUUUAAAUGACUGUCUCCAACUGUGAGCAUUUCAAGUCAAAAGUUUGAGCCUUUCUUUCAGGUGACACCUCAGUCAAAUGGAUUUUACUCACCUCUGCUAAGCCACAAUGACAACUUCUUCACUUCAACAAGCUAAUUUCCUGAAAUGUCAGCAGCACAUCAGCUACAAAUCCAGUGUGAACAUCCUCAUUGAAGAAAAGACUGGCAUCCCCUCAGGCAGCAUUGCCAGUCAUUGACUGCAGAGGUUGAGACGAGAGUCUGCAGUCCAAACAGAAGAAUGUGAAAAAUAGCGUUUGUGCCGCUUGUUUAAGACUUGAAGAGAACAACAUGGCGUGCUCUCAAGUUUCUUAAGAGCCAUGUUUAUGAUCCGUGCUUCUGUGUUUGCCCGAGUAUUAACAAAGAUUUAAUUUACUUCACUCAGACAACUCUUUUGGUUUGCAUUUGUUUGAAUUAAACAUCUUUAUGUUAA